rnacentral:rRNA from 1 species
CCUACGGGUGGCAGCAGUGGGGAAUAUUGGACAAUGGGCGAAAGCCUGAUCCAGCCAUGCCGCGUGUGUGAAGAAGGCCUUCGGGUUGUAAAGCACUUUCAGUGGGGAAGAAAGCCUUGGGGCUAAUACCCUCGAGGAAGGACAUCACCCACAGAAGAAGCACCGGCUAACUCCGUGCCAGCAGCCGCGGUAAUACGGAGGGUGCGAGCGUUAAUCGGAAUUACUGGGCGUAAAGCGCGCGUAGGCGGUCUGAUAAGCCGGUUGUGAAAGCCCCGGGCUCAACCUGGGAACGGCAUCCGGAACUGUCAGGCUAGAGUGCAGGAGAGGAAGGUAGAAUUCCCGGUGUAGCGGUGAAAUGCGUAGAGAUCGGGAGGAAUACCAGUGGCGAAGGCGGCCUUCUGGACUGACACUGACGCUGAGGUGCGAAAGCGUGGGUAGCAAACAGGAUUAGAUAACCCUGUAGUC